UACGGGGGGGGGCAAGCGUUGUUCGGAAUUACUGGGCGUAAAGGGCGCGUAGGCGGCCUUCUAAGUCAGACGUGAAAUCCCUCGGCUCAACCGAGGAACUGCGUCUGAUACUGGAAGGCUUGAAUCCGGGAGAGGGAUGUGGAAUUCCAGGUGUAGCGGUGAAAUGCGUAGAUAUCUGGAGGAACACCGGUGGCGAAGGCGGAUCCUGGACCGGUAUUGACGCUGAGGAGCGAAAGCGUGGGGAGCGAACAGG
rnacentral:rRNA from 1 species